GCCAACGUAGCUCAGUUUUGGUAGAGCAGCUGAUUCGUAAUCAGCAGGUCAGGGGUUCGAGUCCCCUCGUUGGCUCCA
rnacentral:tRNA from 1 species